GUUCAAGCCCCACAUUGGGCUCUGCAUUGACAGUGUGGAGCCUGCUUGGGAUUCUCUUUCUCUGCCUUUCCCCAACUCAUAAAAGCAAAUCCUAUAUAUCUGAAGUCUGACACCUUAGCCAUUGGGCUACAUGGCUCCCUGAAAAAUCCCACUUAUCAUAUGUCUUGACCUAUCGCAUUUUAAGAAUAAUCAAGCUAUAAUUAUAAGAUUUUAGGUCCAUUUUUCAGAACCCAUUGUUUUUGUGUUCUACUUUGGCCUUUGAGGGCAUUCUGUUUUUGUGAGUUUUGGGGGGGGGGGGCAUUCAGGUUUUUUAUAUUACAUUUUACAUGUAGUAAUAAGCAAGUAUCUGUUUCUGUUGUUCUGAAAACUUAGUACCUGUAUGUUGUAACAAUUAGCCACAAAAGGUUGUAUAUAACUAUCAAUACUCCAAAAAAUAAGGAAGAAGUUGGUAUUUUCACUUAAAUUUUUAUUUUGAAUCAAAAGAUCAAAUUAGAAAUGUAACUAUUUUAAGGAAUAGGUGGAAAUAACAUUAAAUUUUUGUCUGAAGGUAUUCUGAAGAACAAAAUGUUUUACUGUAUUGUUUUAUUUAAAAAAAAUAACAGAAGAGCAGUAAAUAAAUUUGGCAAUGUAGGGAAAACAGUAAAAAAUUAAAGGAAACAAUGACCUGUAACUCUUUAAAUAACCACUUAACACUUUUCCUUUCCUUCCUUCUACCUGUGUGGUGGCCUACCUGUGUGUAAGAGCAUGGCUGUGAUCACACUGAAUACAGGGUAGAUGGAGACUUCUUGACUCUGGUGGUUUCCCACAUCCCCAGCUCUUCAGUCAUUUCCUCUUGAGAAAAGGCGACCAAAGGCUUCACUAUUUGCUAAACAAAAGAAAAAAAUCCAGUAGUUCCCUAAAGGCAAUAAGUAUAUGCCAUUAGAUGCACAAGAAAUGAAUUUGAAUGGCAACCUGUGACAGAUGGCGUCCUCACGGAAUUCAUUCCCACUGAUUUCCACCUGGUCUCAGAUCCGCGCCCCCCCCACCCCGCCCCAUACAGUGCUGUACAUAGUCACACUGUUGAUUGGAAGUAUGGUGGAACCUUCAAACACUGGUUUUCAUCUUAUACCUCAUGAUAUAAGGUAAUUUGCUGACUCUUAAGUUUUUCUCAAAUAUUGCCAUGUUUGUCAGCCCUGUAUCAGACUAACAGAAAUGAGACUCAUUCUUAGCUGUAGUUUAAAUCUAUUACUUAAUCACAGUGGCUGAGGAGCUGGCUCACUUUUAGUAUUAUUUUUAGAUUUUUUUCUUUCUAUUUUAAUACUUAAUCCCCUCCCCCCCAAAUUUUUUUUCUUUUGGACCAGCAAAAAUUCUGAGUGGGUUGCUACAGCUUCAUAGGUCAAAUUAAGUUCUGCCUAAGUCACUUUCCAGACCAGGUGCAGGAGGGGAGAAACGAAGAAAACCGUGGCAGUUUCUUUACAGAAGACAGUGAAAUCAGAUUGUGGGAGGCCUGUGGUAGCUUCAGUUUGUGGGGCAUAGCACCAGAGAUAUAGAUGCUCUGUAGAGAAGCUCCAGAAGUCUGCAGGGGUGUCAAAAGAGCUUUUGCUGUUUGCUAAAGAAUACAUACCUAGAAUAAAAUGCCACAAAAAUCAGACAAAAAGCCAUUAUUGGUAAUCUGUAAAUUGAACAAUUCCCAGAGCUUACACGUAGGUGAGAGACAGUUGAGUUUUCACCACCAGAGUGCCAAGACCCCAUUUAAAAUCUUGGGCAUUCAGUAGAUACCCCAGAGUCAUGCCUUAGAACAGGGCUAAGGGUUGUAAGUAAAGGUCUACCCUAGACCACUCUAACAAAACUUAAAAACAACUUCAGAAGGAUCAGGUUGAUUAGCAAGUAACUGCCUGCAAAAUUCAAUAUUUUAAAUAGAUAAGAACAUGCAAAGAAAAAAAUCAGUCAAUAGAAACAGUCUCAGAAAUGACAGAGGUGGGGAUGCCUGGGUGGCUUAGUUGGUUACACGUCCAACUUUGGCUCAAAUUAUGUUCUCAUGGCUUGU